rnacentral:snRNA from 1 species
GAAAACACAAUUCUCCGAUUUUA